rnacentral:rRNA from 1 species
UACGUAGGGUGCAAGCGUUAUCCGGAAUUAUUGGGCGUAAAGAGCUCGUAGGCGGCUUGUCGCGUCUGCUGUGAAAACUGGGGGCUCAACCCCCAGCCUGCAGUGGGUACGGGCAGACUAGAGUGCGGUAGGGGAGAUUGGAAUUCCUGGUGUAGCGGUGAAAUGCGCAGAUAUCGGGAGGAACACCGGUGGCGAAGGCGGUUCUCUGGGCCUGUACUGACGCUGAGGAGCGAAAGCGUGGGGAGCGAACAGG